AUUGAACGCUGGCGGCAUGCCUUACACAUGCAAGUCGAACGGUAACGGGCCUUCGGGUGCCGACGAGUGGCGAACGGGUGAGUAAUGCAUCGGAACGUACCUUUCAGUGGGGGAUAACGUAGCGAAAGUUGCGCUAAUACCGCAUAUUCUGUGAGCAGGAAAGCAGGGGAUCGCAAGACCUUGCGCUGAUUGAGCGGCCGAUGUCAGAUUAGCUAGUUGGUGAGGUAAAGGCUCACCAAGGCGACGAUCUGUAGCGGGUCUGAGAGGAUGAUCCGCCACACUGGAACUGAGACACGGUCCAGACUCCUACGGGAGGCAGCAGUGGGGAAUUUUGGACAAUGGGGGCAACCCUGAUCCAGCCAUGCCGCGUGAGUGAAGAAGGCCUUCGGGUUGUAAAGCUCUUUCGGCCGGGAAGAAAUCGUAUGGGCUAAUACCCUGUGCGGAUGACGGUACCGGCAUAAGAAGCACCGGCUAACUACGUGCCAGCCGCCGCUGUAACAC
rnacentral:rRNA from 1 species